UGGGGAAUAUUGCACAAUGGGCGCAAGCCUGAUGCAGCGACGCCGCGUGAGGGAUGACGGCCUUCGGGUUGUAAACCUCUUUCAGCAUCGAAGAAGCGAAAGUGACGGUAGGUGCAGAAGAAGCGCCGGCUAACUACGUGCCAGCAGCCGCGGUAAUACGUAGGGCGCGAGCGUUGUCCGGAAUUAUUGGGCGUAAAGAGCUUGUAGGCGGUUUGUCGCGUCUGCUGUGAAAGCCCGGGGCUUAACCCCGGGUUUGCAGUGGGUACGGGCUAACUAGAGUGCAGUAGGGGAGACUGGAAUUCCUGGUGUAGCGGUGGAAUGCGCAGAUAUCAGGAGGAACACCGAUGGCGAAGGCAGGUCUCUGGGCUGUAACUGACGCUGAGAAGCGAAAGCAUGGGGAGCAAACAGG
rnacentral:rRNA from 1 species